UACAGAGGUCUCAAGCGUUGUUCGGAAUCACUGGGCGUAAAGCGUGCGUAGGCUGUUUCGUAAGUCGUGUGUGAAAGGCGCGGGCUCAACCCGCGGACGGCACAUGAUACUGCGAGACUAGAGUAAUGGAGGGGGAACCGGAAUUCUCGGUGUAGCAGUGAAAUGCGUAGAUAUCGAGAGGAACACUCGUGGCGAAGGCGGGUUCCUGGACAUUAACUGACGCUGAAGCACGAAGGCCAGGGGAGCGAAAGGG
rnacentral:rRNA from 1 species